rnacentral:rRNA from 1 species
UACGGGGGGGGCAAGCGAUGUUCGGAAUUACUGGGCGUAAAGGGCUCGUAGGUGGCCAACUAAGUCAGACGUGAAAUCCCUCAGCUUAACUGGGGAACUGCGUCUGAUACUGGAUGGCUUGAGUUUGGGAGAGGGAUGCGGAAUUCCUGGUGUAGCGGUGAAAUGCGUAGAUAUCAGGAGGAACACCUGUGGUGUAGACAGCUUACUGGACCACUUCUGACGCUGAGACACGAAAGCGUGGGUAGCAAACAGG